CUCUGCGCUCCCUGCCUCGCUCUUACCAUCACCAUCAGUUCCUGGUUUCUCUUCGUUUCACCACGUGGCCAUCACAAUCAGGACAGAGAGCACAUUCUGUGGCCUCAGGAUCCGAGAGCUUGUGGCCGGAGCCCAGAAUGCCUGAAGCAGAGGAGCUUCCAACUUCCUGCCUGCCUGCCUGCCUGUGGCAAGCAGAGGAUUCAGUGCCCCCAGAAAGGACUUGGAGUGGCAGAGGUUCUGAGAGCUGGAAGCAUCCCAUGGUUUAAUGUAUGAGAGCAAGAGGCAGCAGAGAGUCGUGGCUGCCAGUGAUAGUGCAGGGCCUGCAGGGUGAUGUCAGGGUAGUAAAUGUUGGGGGGCAUGCGAGAGGGUGGGAGCUGCAGCCGUGUGCGGCAGCUCUGCUAGAAGGGAAAAGCAGCCGGGGCUCAGCCAUGUGCCAGAGGUGCAAAAGUUAGGCAGAAGGAUGUCCCUG